rnacentral:rRNA from 1 species
ACGGCGGCCGUAACUAUGACGGUCCUAAGGUAGCGAAAUUCCUUGUCGGGUAAGUUCCGACCUGCACGAAUGGUGUAACGAUCCGGGCACUGUCUCGGGGAAGAACUCGGUGAAAUUGAAUUAUCAGUGAAGAUGCUGAUUACCCGCAACAGGACGGAAAGACCCCGUGAACCUUUACUAUAACUUGACAUUGAGUUUUGUUUUGUGAUGUGUAGGAUAGAUGGGAGGCUUUGAAGUGGGAGCGCCAGCUUUCAUGGAGCCAUCGUUGAAAUACCAUCCUUCGCAAAAUGGGAUUCUAACGAUUAGCCGUUAUCCGGCAGUCGGACAUUGUCAGGCGGGUAGUUUGACUGGGGCGGUCGCCUCCUAAAGAGUAACGGAGGCGUGCAAAGGUCACCUCAAACCGAAUAGAAAUCGGUAGUAGAGUAUAAAGGCAUAAGGUGGCUUGACUGCGAGAGAGACAUCUCGAGCAGGUACGAAAGUAGGUCUUAGUGAUCCGGUGGUCCCGAGUGGAAGGGCCAUCGCUAAACGGACAAAAGGUACUCCGGGGAUAACAGGCUUAUCUCCCCCAAGAGUUCAUAUCGACGGGGAGGUUUGGCACCUCGAUGUCGGCUCAUCGCAUCCUGGGGCUGGAGCAGGUCCCAAGGGUUUGGCUGUUCGCCAAUUAAAGCGGUACGCGAGCUGGGUUCAGAACGUCGUGAGACAGUUUGGUCCCUAUCCGUUGUGGGCGUUGGAAAGUUGAGAAGAGUCAUUCUUAGUACGAGAGGACCGGAAUGAACGCACCGCUGGUGUAUCUGUUGUUCUGCCAAGAG